CCUACGGGUGGCUGCAGUGGGGAAUAUUGGGCAAUGGAGGCAACUCUGACCCAGCAACGCCGCGUGAAUGAUGAAGGUCUUCGGAUGGUAAAGUUCUUUUCUAAGGGAAGAAGAAAGUGACGGUACCGUAGGAAUAAGCCUCGGCUAACUACGGGCCAGCAGCCGCGGUAAUACGUAGGAGGCAAGCGUUAGCCGGAAUGACUGGGCGUAAAGGGGGCGUAGGGGGUUGGACAAGUUAGUAGCGCAACUCCGGAGCUCAACUUCGGAACUACUACGAAAACGGUUGGACUUGAGUGCAGGACGGGCAAUCGUACUUCCUGGUGUAGCGGUUGAAUGCGUAGAUAUUAGGCGGAACCCCAGUGGCGAAGGCGGAUUGCUAGACUGUACCUGACACUGAGGCAC
rnacentral:rRNA from 1 species